rnacentral:rRNA from 1 species
UACAGUCGGAACGUGCCCGAUCGUGGGGAUAACUACUCGAAAGAGUAGCUAAUACCGCAUACGAUCUACGGAUGAAAGCAGGGACCCGCUAAGGGCCUUGCGCGGACGGAGCGGCCGAUGGCUAGAUUAGGUAGUUGGUGGGAUAAAAGCUUACCAAGCCGACGAUCUGUAGCUGGUCUGAGAGGACGACCAGUCCACACUGGGACUGAGACACGGCCCAGACUCCUACGGGAGGCAGCAGUGGGAAUUUUGGACAAUGGGGGAAACCCUGAUCCAGCCAUGCCGCGUGCAGGAUGAAGG